rnacentral:tRNA from 1 species
GGGAGGAUCGCGGUGGACGUGGAUCCGUGGCCCCGAAAGCGGAAGGCCGGCGGUUCGACCCCGCCCCUGCCCACCA